CCUACGAGUGGCAGCAGUGAGGAAUAUUGGGCAAUGGGCGGAAGCCUGAACCAGCCAAGUAGCGUGCAGGAUGACGGCCCUACGGGUUGUAAACUGCUUUUAUACGGGAAUAACGCGCCUUACGUGUAGGGCUUUGCAUGUACCGUAUGAAUAAGGACCGGCGAAUUCCGUGCCAUCAGCCGCGGUAAUACGGAAGGUCCGGGCGUUAUCCGGAUUUGUUGGUGUUAAAGGGAGCGUAGGCCGCAUGUCAAGCGUGCGGUGAAAUGUCCGGGCUCAACCCGGGCAUUGCAGCGCGUACUGGCAUGCUUGAGUCCGCGGAAGGCAGGCGGAAUUCGUGGUGUAGCGGUGAAAUGCUUAGAUAUGACGAAGAACCCCGAUUGCGAAGGCAGCUUGCUGCAGCGGAACUGACGCUGAUGCUCGAAAGCGCGGGUAUCGAACAGGAUUAGAUACCCGAGUAGUC
rnacentral:rRNA from 1 species